UAUUCAAGAUUAGAUAAAAGAGCUUCUUGAGGCUGAUAUCUUUGCUUUGUAUGUGUUUUGAUCCCAUUGAGGGGUAUUCCUGUGCUUCCUCUCUGCAAGUGCUUUUCCAAUUUUCUCAUUUUCAUUAAUUAUGAGAUCAAGGACCGGUUGAGAUCUAAGGAGGUGCAGCACUUACUAAGAAUACAGCACAGAAGCAGAUAAGCUGGUGAAAGGAGAGGCUGGAACAAUUUUGCAGUUAGGUUCCAGUGAUAAUGGUGGGACCUCUGUCAGGUGGAUGCUACUCUGGAGGUCCCGAGGACUCUAGAUUGCUAGCAAUGCAUGGGGAACAUUCAUCUUUUCAGAUUUGGCAAGGGAAGGACAAAAUCAAAAUUAAUGGGAAGACUAAACAACUAAAUGGUUGGGAACCGACAGAAGAGCAAAAGGAUAUAGUGGCGGUGUGAUUGGGUCUUCUUUAUCACAUCAGGCCGGGCCCAAUAGACCAUCCCCUGGUUGUUGUGAAUGCAAAGAGAUGGCGCAUUGAAACCAAUUCUCUUCACUUUAUUGAAGAAAUUUGAGAGAUGGCCCCAACAUUAUUUGAUGUUCACCAGAUCAUGAGGUAAUCGGUUGAUGGUGAACCCGUCACAUGCUAGCCAAUUAGUAGUUAUAAUAACUACAUUCUCAGCCAGUUGAAUGAAGUUGCCCCUGAGCUUAAUUUCAUCACCAUCAAGCAUACAUGGCUAAAAACAAAUUUCAGCAAACUACCACCAAAUGCUAGCUCGCAACUAGUUGGAUGGCACACACAUGCCUACUUGACAUUUCUCAUCAGUUUUAUUAUCUUCUCUGAUUCCUGGUAAAUUGUGCCAAUAAAGUAUUUAUAGUUUAAGGAUUUUGAUCGAGGUGGUAGAUAUGCAUAUGGUGCUGUUGCAAUCAC